CUCCGAAAUUCCCUAUCUAACCGAAAACCUACAGCAAGAACCCUGGAGUAAGGAAGUUUGAGGCUGGGAAAAGAUAUGAGGAUGAAGAACGGACUGCAGGAUGAAUCAUCCUCUGUAACUUAACCUACUGGCACAGUUCCUCAGACCUACCGAGGGGGGCAUCGCACCAAGUGGGAGAGUGAAGCCCGGCUGGCAGGAGGCUAUAAUUCCACGCCUGGAGAAGAAGGAGAUCUGGAUGGAGGCACCUUGGUGCAUCUCCUUGGAUACCAGCACCUGGUUGCCAAGCUCUGGGCGACGGUUGCCCAGUAACACCAGUAUCUCGGUAUCACUGGGUGCCUUGCAGAGGCAUAAAGCUUUAUGAGAAGCUGUGAGGGAACGCCUCCAUUUUUCACCAUCCUCCUGAUUGUCUGGAAAGAAAGAGGAGUGGAGUGGAGCCAUGUCAAUGGGGCAAUGAACCCACUCCAGGUUUUUAUCAGAGCUUGACAGUGCUCAAGCCAUUCCUCCAAACAGGUUCAGCAUUUUGGAUAGAUAAUUUAAAGUUUGGAUUAAAACUCAGAGUGAUGAAUCCGCCCAAUCCUCCAUCACCUUUUUUUCUUUCUUUCUUUCUUUCUUUCUUUCCCUUUGGUUCAUUUGGCUGUGCUCUUAACAAGCAGAAAAUGGGUUGUGGAUUCUGGUUAACCUUUGAUUCCAGUUUCCAAGAAAUUGGCGACAAGAAUCAAUAGAAACCUCUGGGUGAUUCAUCGUCAUGCGGACGGACCUCCUAUCUCUUGAUGAACUCAGCACAAGGUGGAACAAACUGUUCUGACCUGAGCACAGUUGGGUUUUUUUAAAUGAGGGUUAAAAAAAAGGCGAUUAAAGUACAAAAGUCCUACAAAAGGUCCUGGAAGCCCACACAAGACCUGAGCGGCCAACUAAGAAGUUUGCAAAACAGCAGAUGGAAGUUGCAUCAUUUUAAAUGUUUGCAGCCUAUGACAAGCCUGCCCCAUUGUGGACUUCAGGAGGCAUGCAUGCUUCCUGGACACUAAUAAACAAACAAC